GUGAAUUUAGGGUGACUAUUCGUAGUGCCCGACCUCCACUUCUAACACUGUGCACUUAUUGGCGAGAAUUUUGAAUAGUAAGGUGGCGUUCUGCGCCUCACGAACUUCAAAUCUCUUGCGGCUUUAUUUUAUAACUCCAAGUUAAAGAAUGUAACCAAAUAUAAAACAAAAAA
rnacentral:misc_RNA from 1 species